AAAUAUGUCGAUAAUGUCACGUGUGCGACGACUUACGAGACAUAACCUGAAAAUGGCAGCUGAGGAAAGACAGACGAAAAGUGAAAAAGCUAAACCGAUUUUUUGCGAGCUGUCCGCUAACGAUUUAGACCUGGAAAUUACGGAGAUCGAGAGCUUAUGCGUGGAAUGCGGGAAAAAUGGGAUUACCAGGCUACUGUUAACGAAGAUUCCACAUUACAAAGAUGUGGUACUCAUGUCGUUCGAGUGCGAGCACUGUGGCUAUCAAAAUAACGAGAUACAAAGCGGUGGAAAGAUAGCGGAGAAAGGUAUCAAGAUAACAUUGCAAGUCACAACGCAACAGGACCUGAAUCGUCAAGUGGUAAAAUCUGACUAUACCAGCGUUCACAUUCCCCACUUAGACUUUGAGAUUCCUGCGCAAUCACAAAAAGGAGAAAUUACAACGAUAGAAGGAAUAAUUGAUAAGAGCGUUAGAGCUUUGGAGCAGGAUCAGUCGAGACGUCGAGAAGAAUUUCCAGACACCGCAGAUGAAAUAGAUCUAUUUAUUAGCAAAUUACAUGCACUGAAAAUACUUGACGAGCCUUUCACUAUAAUCUUUCAAGAUAUCUCGGGAAACAGUCAUGUAGAGAAUCCAAAAGCACCAAUUAAAGAUAAUCAAUGUAAUAUAACAUACUUUAAAAGAACAAAAAAGCAGAAUUCUUUGCUGGGAAUUUACUCGGACAAUGAAGAUGGUUUGCUCAAGCCCAUACAGGAAGGAGAAUUUACUCUGGAACAAAUGGAAGGUGAAGUGUUGUCCUUCCCUACCAAUUGCCCGGAUUGCAACAGUCUCUGUGAAACAAAUAUGAAACUGACAAAUAUACCACACUUCAAAGAAGUUGUCAUAAUGGCCACACUCUGCGAGUCUUGUGGUCAUAAAACUAACGAGGUGAAGAGCGGCGGUGGAAUCGAACCUCAGGGAGUCAAAAUUGAAGUAAUGGUAACAGGCAAAGAAGAUUUCAAUCGCGAUUUAUUGAAAUCCGAAACUUGCGACAUGGAGAUACCUGAAUUCGAAUUAGAAGUCGGUCCAGCUGCUUUGGGCGGUCGAUUCACGACUGUCGAAGGGAUCAUAACAGCGAUAAAAGAACAGUUAUCUUCAUCUACGGCUUUCACCGGAGACAGCAGUGAUUUGGAAACCGGGAAGAGGAUGGAGACAUUUAUUGCUCAUUUGGGAGAGAUUUUGGACGGUCAAAGGAAAGUGACUCUAGUUUUAGAUGACCCGGCCGGAAAUAGCUAUGUGCAAAGCCUCUCCGAUGAUGGGCCCGACGACAGAUUAAAGAUCACGAAAUACGACAGAAGUUUCGAGCAGAAUGAAGAACUUGGACUCAAUGACAUGAAAGUUGAGAACUAUUAAACUUGUGUUAAAUUAGAAGAACUAAGUAUCAUCAAAGCAUAUCUGAAAAAUAGUCAGAUAACAAAACUAUCCAUUUUAAAUCAUCACAUGCCAUUGUAACAAAGAUUUUAUUGUCCAACUAACUUGCACUAUUUUAGUUUAAUCUUCACCUGCACGGCUGGAAGAGAAAGAAAAGCUUUACAAUAUGUUUAAAAGUGGCAUCGCGUGGCUCUAUAAAAGAUAAAAUCAAGAAACACAUGGCAUACACUAUUGGUAUCGCAUCGAUUUUUUUUAAGGUAGGCAAUCGUUUUACAACUUGCGCACGCCACGAUUCCGCGUCCAUGUUCUCGCAUAUAGGAUUGUUAAUGAAUAACAAAUCUUGAAGAUUGGGUAUUUCUUGCAAACGAUUAAAUUCCGCCCAAUCUUUCACCAGAUUAUUGCCCAUAUACAAGACCUUGAGCGCUUUGAGAGCAUUGACGCCUUUGAUCUUUUCAAUCAAAUUAUAAGAAAUCCAUAAU